GCCUACCCCUGGCAUAGUGGUUUGAGCACUGGACUACAGCUCUGGAGACCAGGGUUUGAUUCCCAGCUCGGCC